rnacentral:rRNA from 1 species
GUUGGUUUCUCCCUUCUGACGAACCAUGAUGUCAUUUAUUUGGUGUUGUGGGGAAUCAGGACUGUUACUUUGAAAAAAUUAGAGUGUUUAAAGCAGGCUCACGCUUGAAUACAUUAGCAUGGAAUAAUGAAAUAGGACGUUUGAUUCUAUUUUGUUGGUUUCUAGGAUCGACGUAAUGAUUAAUAGGGAUAGUUGGGGGCAUUAGUAUUCAAUUGUCAGAGGUGAAAUUCUUGGAUUUAUUGAAGACUAACUACUGCGAAAGCAUUUGCCAAGGAUGUUUUCAUUAAUCAAGAACGAAAGUUAGGGGAUCGAAGACGAUCAGAUACCGUCGUAGUCUUAACCAUAAACUAUGCCGACUAGGGAUCGGAUGAUGUUAAUUCUUUAAUGACUCAUUCGGCGCCUUACG